CAGCCGCCGCGGGAAUACGUAGGGUGCGAGCGUUAAUCGGAACUACUGGGCGUAAAGCGUGCGCAGGCGGUUGUGUAAGACAGGUGUGAAAUCCCCGGGCUUAACCUGGGAACUGCGCUUGUGACUGCACAGCUAGAGUAUGGCAGAGGGGGGUGGAAUUCCACGUGUAGCAGUGAAAUGCGUAGAGAUGUGGAGGAACACCGAUGGCGAAGGCAGCCCCCUGGGCCAAUACUGACGCUCAUGCACGAAAGCGUGGGGAGCAAACAGGAUUAGAUACCCGCGUAGUCCCUGUCUCUUAUAC
rnacentral:rRNA from 1 species